UUAAGCCAUGCAUGUCUCAGUAUAAGCUUCUAUACGGCGAAACUGCGAAUGGCUCAUUAAAACAGUUAUAGUUUAUUUGGUGGUCAGCAAUUACAUGGAUAACCGUGGUAAUUCUAGAGCUAAUACAUGCGUCCAAACCCGACUUCGUGGAAGGGUUGUGUUUAUUAGAUACAGAACCAACCCAGGCUCCGCCUGGCCUUGAGGUGAUUCAUAAUAACCGAACGAAUCGCAUGGCUAUGCCGGCGAUAGACCAUUCAAGUUUCUGACCUAUCAGCUAUCGUCGGUAGGGUAUUGGCCUACCGUGGCAAUGACGGGUAACGGAGAAUUAGGGUUCGAUUCCGGAGAGGGAGCCUGAGAAACGGCUACCACAUCUAAGGAAGGCAGCAGGCGCGCAAAUUACCCAAUCCUGACGCAGGGAGGUAGUGACAAGAAAUAACAAUACAGGGCAUACAUGUCUUGUAAUUGGAAUGAGUAAACUUUAAAUCACUUUACGAGUAUCAAUUGGAGGG
rnacentral:rRNA from 1 species